UCAAGUGAAGAAGCGCAUACGGUGGAUGCCUUGGCAGUCAGAGGCGAUGAAAGACGUGGUAGCCUGCGAAAAGCUUCGGGGAGUCGGCAAACAGACUUUGAUCCGGAGAUGUCUGAAUGGGGGAACCCAGCCAUCAUAAGAUGGUUAUCUUGUACUGAAUACAUAGGUGCAAGAGGCGAACCAGGGGAACUGAAACAUCUAAGUAGCUGCAGGAAAAGAAAUCAACCGAGAUUCCCAAAGUAGUGGCGAGCGAACGGGGACUAGCCCUUAAGUGGCUUUGAGAUUAGCGGAACGCUCUGGAAAGUGCGGCCAUAGUGGGUGAUAGCCCUGUACGCGAAAAUCUCUUAGUCAUGAAAUCGAGUAGGACGGAGCACGAGAAACUUUGUCUGAAUAUGGGGGGACCAUCCUCCAAGGCUAAAUACUCGUAAUCGACCGAUAGUGAACCAGUACCGUGAGGGAAAGGCGAAAAGAACCCCGGGAGGGGAGUGAAAUAGAUCCUGAAACCGUGUGCAUACAAACAGUAGGAGCCCACUUUGUUGGGUGACUGCGUACCUUUUGUAUAAUGGGUCAGCGACUUACAUUCAGUGGCGAGGUUAACCGAAUAGGGGAGCCGUAGAGAAAUCGAGUCUUAAUAGGGCGUCUAGUCGCUGGGAAUAGACCCGAAACCGGGCGAUCUAUCCAUGGGCAGGUUGAAGGUUGGGUAACACUAACUGGAGGACCGAACCGACUACCGUUGAAAAGUUAGCGGAUGACCUGUGGAUCGGAGUGAAAGGCUAAUCAAGCUCGGAGAUAGCUGGUUCUCCUCGAAAGCUAUUUAGGUAGCGCCUCAUGUAUCACUGUAGGGGGUAGAGCACUGUUUUGGCUAGGGGGUCAUUGCGACUUACCAAACCAAUGCAAACUCCGAAUACCUACAAGUGCCGAGCAUGGGAGACACACGGCGGGUGCUAACGUCCGGUGUCAAGAGGGAAACAACCCAGACCGCCAGCUAAGGUCCCAAAGUUUGGCUAAGUGGGAAACGAAGUGGGAAGGCUAAAACAGUCAGGAUGUUGGCUUAGAAGCAGCCAUCAUUUAAAGAAAGCGUAAUAGCUCACUGAUCGAGUCGUCCUGCGCGGAAGAUGUAACGGGGCUCAAACCAUACACCGAAGCUACGGGUAUCACGUAAGUGAUGCGGUAGAGGAGCGUUCUGUAAGCCUGUGAAGGUGUGUUGAGAAGCUUGCUGGAGGUAUCAGAAGUGCGAAUGCUGACAUGAGUAGCGAUAAUGGGGGUGAAAAACACCCACGCCGAAAGCCCAAGGUUUCCUGCGCAACGUUAAUCGACGCAGGGUUAGUCGGUCCCUAAGGCGAGGCUGAAAAGCGUAGUCGAUGGAAAACAGGUUAAUAUUCCUGUACUUCUGGUUAUUGCGAUGGAGGGACGGAGAAGGCUAGGCCAGCUUGGCGUUGGUUGUCCAAGUUUAAGGUGGUAGGCUGGAAUCUUAGGUAAAUCCGGGAUUCUAAGGCCGAGAGCUGAUGACGAGUUAACUUUUAGUUAACGAAGUGGUUGAUGCCAUGCUUCCAAGAAAAGCUUCUAAGCUUCAGGUAACCAGGAACCGUACCCCAAACCGACACAGGUGGUUGGGUAGAGAAUACCAAGGCGCUUGAGAGAACUCGGGAGAAGGAACUCGGCAAAUUGGUACCGUAACUUCGGGAUAAGGUGCGCCGGUGAGGGUGAAGGACUUGCUCCGUAAGCUCAUGCCGGUCGAAGAUACCAGGCCGCUGCGACUGUUUAAUAAAAACACAGCACUCUGCAAACACGAAAGUGGACGUAUAGGGUGUGACGCCUGCCCGGUGCUGGAAGAUUAAAUGAUGGGGUUAGCUACGCGAAGCUCUUGAUUGAAGUCCCAGUAAACGGCGGCCGUAACUAUAACGGUCCUAAGGUAGCGAAAUUCCUUGUCGGGUAAGUUCCGACCUGCACGAA
rnacentral:rRNA from 1 species